AGAAAGAGAAAGAAAGGAGAAAGAAGAAGAAGAAGGAGGAGGAGGAGGAGGAGGAGGAGGAGGAGGAGGAGCAGGAGAAGAAGAAGAAGAAGAAGAAGGAAAGAAGGGUUGUUCAUCGUGUAUUUUUGGGGCUGCAACUACAUGUUUUCUCUACUCCUGCUGUGCUCACUUGCUGGUGUUAUUGAGAUGUUGUUGCUGCUGUAGAAAAGGGAUGCAUGCAAGGCAAGAUGAGAGGUGCAAGCGGCUGUCCAAGCUAAAAUCCUGUUGAAAUUUUACUGCAUAUAUUGAGCUGCUGCUGUACCUGUUCGGAGAGAUGAUGGAAACCGGUGCUGAGGCGGGACUGGACUUUAGCAGCGGUUGUGAAGCUUAUGUCAGUGAGAUGUCGGGAUUUGAAGGGCUUCACUAUUAUUCAAUUCUUCCUUCUUGAUGUAUAUAUAUUUAUAGAUGUGUAGUAAGUAUUAUUGUAGCCUAUGGUUGUUUUUAGAUAUGAAAUUUUGUAGAAUGUAACUUAUAACUUUAGUACAUCACCAAUGAUAUUUAUGAGAUUUUAUUAGCA